CGCACAGACCGCCUUAUCGCUGCCCUGAUUUAUUAGGGUUGAGGAAAGUCCGGACACCAUAGAGAAGCAUAGCGGGUAACGCCCGUCGGUUCAAGCAAUUGAAUUAGGACAAGUGCAACAGAAAGUAUGUACAGGUAAUGCUGUAGUGAAACCAGGUAAACUCUAUGCGGUGAAAUAUCAAGUAUAUCGGUUUUUAAGGGUUUCUCGCCCGUUGCCGAAGGGUAGAUAGCUUGAGCUUAUGAGUAAUUGUAAGCCUAGAUAAAUGAUAAGGCACCGAUUUAUCGGUGACAGAAUCCGGCUUAUAGGUCUGUUUUUUUU
rnacentral:RNase_P_RNA from 1 species